GUGUGAAAAAUAACAUAUAUUCCUUAUAUUGUGUUUAUCGGCAUGGUCAAUUUGUUAACUGAUGACAUGUUCAAUUGGUCAUCUCUAAUUACCCCCUUUCAUGCAUAUUGUGUGCUCUAACAUGGAGUUGCCCCCCCUCUUUAUUUUGGUCCCACUCCACCACAGGAGCAGAGUAACUAGUAACACACAUUAAGCCACAUCAAACCAACUCAACAGAGGGUUGUGCCAAUGCGCCUUUACCACAUGAACAUGUGAUCACUAAGGUGUGUCAACUAACCUGUACUCGGUUAUCAAUUAUCUCCUGCCAGUAAUUUUGGGAUUGGUUGAACCCUUAUAGUAGUCAAAUAUUGGAAAGCUAUCUUAUCAUCAAGUAAAAAAUGUGUGAAAUGUUAACCUUUUGGUUUGCAACUAUAACCUGUUUGGGUUCAUAUAUACCCUCCAAGUAAUCUUAACCUACGUGCAAGCACUUGUCCAGCUUUUUAUCAAUGAUGAUGAUGACAUCUUUUCCUAUUAAAUUGCAGAAUGCCCAUGCUGAAAAUAAUCUUCCAGUGCAACAAGGUGGUCCUGAACCAAGUUUAUGACUUCACCAAGUCCAUAAGAAGGUAAACAUAUGCUACAUAUCUAAAUGACAAUGAUUGUACAAGAGGUUGUCUAAUUUUGUAUGUAAGUGCAAGGUAAAUGACAUUAUGAAACACUAAUCCCAUUUUGACAAGCAUGUUUCAAAUACUGUCAUGACACCAAUAGCAGAUCAUAUGUCAGAUUCAACCAAGUACUAAAAAAUUGUAUUGCAUACAACAGUAACAUGAUUUUUCCCGAUGGAACCAAAAGUUAAGUCACACACAUAUCAUUGCUGCUCCAAGAGAUCUCGUAUUCAAAGAAACUAAUUAAUCACUUUUGAAUUGAUACAUGAGUACUAAUAAAACACCAACCUUGCAUACAUGUACUUUUUGGUGGAAACCUUGCAUAGAUGUUGAGGAACACCUGUCCCUUGAAUAUUAGGUGAACUCUCUUUUUAGUGUAUAAAUUAACAUGACGUGAACUUCAUUUGUUUGCAUGUUGCAUUCACGCUUAGUUUUCACAAUAAAUAUUUUCUUAAUAAGACCUUAAUCUAAUCUGAUAGCAAAGUGUGCAGACAGAAGGUACGUGUAGAAUAAAGCUCACUUACUGCAUGUAUCAGAACUCUUCAAAACUAUCAUUCUUUAUUAUAGUUGAUCAUGUGUCUCCCUUCACAUGUAUUCCUAUUUAAUUGUAGAAUGCUCAUGCUCAAAACAGCAAUGCACCAAGCUACAUGGUCAUCACCAAGUCACUAAGCAGGUACAUAUAGGCUCGAUGUCUAAAUGACAAUGAUUGUUUAAUAGAUAGUUGAUCUAAUUAUUUUUGAAAUUGUUCUUAUUUCUGUAAAAUGAAAUCUGCUCAGGUUCAUCAAUAACAAAAUUUUCAUUUCUUGAAAAAUAGGAUAAAGUUGAAGUCGUGUUGUAUUCGAUGAACUCGAGAAACAAAGACAAACUCGUGGCCAAUGGAACCUUAGUGAGUAAAGAGAAAACAUAUGUGGUUGGAGGAAACAUGCUUGGAGUGCAAUAUAUUGCAGUACUUAUUCGCGGCUGUAUAUAUCUAGGAGAUGAGAAACUAGUUAGACCAUAUGAAAAAUUGCAAACAGUAAGGGAUGCUAUGAGUUCUUUUAUUGCUUGGCCUCGCUCAUAUGUCAGUAUGCUUCCAUUCAAGCAUUGGGUAUGCUCCAAUAUGCACAUGUGUGAUGUGUUAUUUACCUGGAAUCUUUCUUUUUUUACGUAAAAAUAGUUAAGCCAACCCCUCCUGCACAACCACAAAGCAUUGGUAGGAUACAAUUCUUAUAAUUUUAUCAAAGAAUCUCUUAUCUUACACUUCUGUAUAAACAUAUGUUCAUGCAAAUGUUGUUCAUUCUCCUUUUCAGGGCAGUGAGGAUUUGAAAAGUGAGUGCAUAAAAAAAGCUAGGAGUGGCUGGGUACUUGAGGAUUUGAAAAGGGAGCGCACUGGAGGAGUCAGGAGUAGUUGAUGAAUAUUUCUUUGAAUGAACAAAAAUUCUAAAUUAUGUAUAGAUUGUAGCUUAAUAGAGAAAAAUAGUUCCAGUCUAUAGGAUCUUUUCUUAUUUAUUUUUCAUAUGAAUGUUUGAUGUUAUUCAGCUGUGAACUCCAAAUACUUUCAGUGGAGACAUUGUUCCUGCUAAUUAAUGCAUUGGAUGUUGUUACUGAGGUUGCCAAUGUUUGCAAAUGCAAUCUAUGACAUGGAAUGAUGCCUUCGUAUCACAAUAUUAUUUGACCAAUUUGCAUGCGCAGCCAUGACAUUAAAAAUGUUUGAAGUAAAAUAUUCCAUCUAUAAAGAUAUUCUUAUGUAUAUUUAGAGAUUAGUAUAAGAGGUGAAUGAAAUGGUAUAUUCAUAGACGAGUAUAAGAGGCGAACGAAACGUGUCUAUGAGUAGAGACGUAAUAUGAGCAUGCCUAACAUAACGUCUCUACAUGUAGACACGAUUUUUGAGCAUGCCUAACACAACAUCUCUAUAUGUAGACACGAUUUUGAACGUCCCUAAAAAGCGUCUCUUGCCAUGUAAGACACGCUUGCCAAGCGUGUCUAUCUAUUUAAGACGGUUCGUGGGGAGACGCUCCAAGGACGCUUUACUAAAACGGCUCUAUAGUUGGCUAGAGAUGAAAUAACACGUCGCUAGGUAUGAAAUUGGGCGUGUCUAUCGG
rnacentral:lncRNA from 1 species